GAUAAGGACUUGAAUGUCAUCACUCACCACUCAUGUAGCAAUUUGACUUUCCAAAACCGUCCAAGAGUUGGACAAAAAUAAUUCGUGGAAUUCAAUACCACCAGAUUCUCACUUGAGAUUAAAAAGAAAAGUCAGCUGGGCAACUUCAGAAGUAUUUUGUAAAGGAUGAUACACUGGCCUUUCCCAAAUGGAGUGAGGGUGAGGCCAGACACAAAA
rnacentral:misc_RNA from 1 species